AUGCGUACAGGUUUUGCACCACGUUCUUGGAGGAGACGGUGUGGCGGAACCGGAGCUCGCUUGCAACGCAACCCGAGACUCGCUUCUCCCUUCAUGGUGUACAGAUCUUUGUCCAAACCGGAGUUUGCAACGACGCGGUACAAGACUUCAUCAUCGCUUCAUCUGGCGAGGACGCCGGCUACAUCAGCGCCACCGGACAUCCACAUGAUGUCGCUAGCUUCUUCCACUUAUCGCUUGACGAGGACGCCGAUUGCACCAGCACGCCGCCAAUUCACGACACCAACCUGUUGGAAAUAUGCCCUAGAGGCAAUAAUAAAAUGGUUAUUAUUGUAUUUCCUUGUUCAUGAUAAUUAUCUAUUGUUCAUGCUAUAA
rnacentral:rRNA from 1 species